rnacentral:tRNA from 1 species
CUGUUGGUAGCUCAGUGGUAGAGUGCAUGCUUUGUAUGUAUGACGUCCUGGGUUCAAAUCCUGUAAAAUCGU